rnacentral:rRNA from 1 species
AACCGGAUUAGAUACCCUGGUAGUCCACGCCGUAAACGGUGGGUACUAGGUGUGGGUUUCCUUCCUUGGGAUCCGUGCCGUAGCUAACGCAUUAAGUACCCCGCCUGGGGAGUACGGCCGCAAGGCUAAAACUCAAAGAAGUUGACGGGGGCCCGCACAAGCGGCGGAGCAUGUGGAUUAAUUCGAUGCAACGCGAAGAACCUUACCUGGGUUUGACAUGCACAGGACGACGGCAGAGAUGUCGUUUCCCUUGUGGUCUGUGUGCAGGUGGUGCAUGGCUGUCGUCAGCUCGUGUCGUGAGAUGUUGGGUUAAGUCCCGCAACGAGCGCAACCCUUAUUUCAUGUUGCCAGCGCGUAAUGGCGGGGACUCGUGAGAGACUGCCAGGGUCAACUCGGAGGAAGGUGGGGAUGACGUCAAGUCAUCAUGCCCCUUAUGUCCAGGGCUUCACACAUGCUACAAUGGCCGGUACAAAGGGCUGCGAUGCCGCGAGGCUUAGCGAAUCCUUUAAAGCCGGUCUCAGUUCGGAUCGGGGUCUGCAACUCGACCCCGUGAAGUCGGAGUCGCUAGUAAUCGCAGAUCAGCAACGCUGCGGUGAAUACGUUCCCGGGCCUUGUACACACCGCCCGUCACGUCAUGAAAGUCGGUAACACCCGAAGCCAGUGGCCCAACCCUUGUGGGGGGAGCUGUCGAAGGUGGGAUCGGCGAUUGGGACGAAGUCGUAACAAGGUAGCCGUA